rnacentral:tRNA from 1 species
UCCCUGGUGGCUCAGAUGGUAAAGAAUCCACCUGCAAUGUGGGGAACCUGGGUUCGAUCCCUGGCUUGGGAA